GCUUCUAUAUUUAUAUAGUGUGGGCUUAUGCUUAUUUGGAAUGGGCUAGGCUUGGAUGGAGAAGUCCAUGGAUACUCCAUGGAGCUUUAACCCAUGGAUCUCAUAGAAAUGAAGAGACAUGGGUAUUAGGGUUUACAUGGAUGUAACCCUAAUCCACCACACUAUAUAAAGGAGGCUUUGGCUCUUGAAAUCACACUAGUUGACACAUGUUGAGGUGAGGGCCGAUUUCAAGAGAAGUGUGACUAUUCUCUCAAAGUUCCAAGUUUGUGGUGAUUUGUGACUUUCAUUUGAGGCAUCCACAUUAUUGGUGCUAGGCUCUAAAACUCCAAGGAAUCAACUACAACUACAAGGUAAGUGUUUCUACUAGCUUUAUUUGAUUCAAGUUCCCCAUGCCAUGCUAGUUAGGAUAUAAGCCUUGGAAAAAUAAUUAUUUGCAUGUAUCUUAGACAAACAUAGAUCCAAGGUUUAUUAGGGUUGCAUGUACACUUAGGAAGUGUUAGAAUGCUCAAAACCCAUCAGUGGUAUCAGAGCCUAGGUCUGUUUGUUUGAUACUUGUGAUUAAAAGUUGGAAAAAGUCGAAAAACUUGCUGUCUGACGAAUGGACUCGGCGAGUCCAUGGGGGGACUCGUCGAGUUCACUUGUAUCUUCAACCUACUCGGCGAGUAGGUUCAUGCACUCGGCGAGUAGGGUCGACAGAGUGCAGAUUUUCGACUUUAGUUGCUGGAAAUGGAUUGGAAACAUUACCCUAAACUGUUUUGGUACUUGAAAACUUGUUUUAGCUGGUGUAAUGUUUUUGCUAAUUCAUUUACAACAACUAGUUAUCAAAAUUACAAAGUUUAAUGUGAUUUUGAUUCUUGAAAGUGUUCAUAUUCAUGUUCUUGUUCUUAUGAAGUUUAGAUGAUCAUAGGAAUUAUUUGUAACCUAUGUGGUAGUUUAAUUCUUGAUCAUAAUGUGUUUUAAUGGAGUCCAUAACUUGUCCUCAAGUUAUGGAAAACCAAAAGUCUCUUGGAUUAAAAACCAUUAAAAGAACACAAGAGUUAGAAAAAAUGAAAAGUCCUCAUUUUAUUACUCUAUUAAACUCAUAAGUUACAAGAAAUGAAAAGUUUUGAAAGUUUACAAAACUUGCCCUCAAGUUUUGGAACAAGUAAAGUUAAGUUAAAACUUUAGUUCCAACCCCUAGAAUUUUAAAAGUUAAAAUUCAACCCUUAUACUUAUAUUAUUAUGAUUUAAUAAUUAUAUAUAUAUGUAUAAGAACAAAGUCGUCUUACCGCUAGUACGCCUCAUUCACGAAGCCGGUCUAUAAGGUGGGUAUAAGGUUGUUGCCUAUAAAAUGGUGACUUAAUGGGUGUCCACUCUCACCCACCGCUUGCUUGAUCGGUGGAGGGUCGUUAGCCGAACGGGUAAGACAAGGACUUAUUAAUUCUCAUUCAAAGUAUGAUGAAUAUUAUAAAGUAACUAAAUGUUUUAUUAAAUUCCCAAUCUUAGUUACUUUAGGAAAAAUGUGAAUAAGGUGCUAUUCCAUGAAAUUACACUUUACACUUUGAUUAAGUCGUUGGUGGAGCGUGUGUGGUUAACCGGCACACUAACUUGGACUUAACAAGGUAGGUAAAGGGUGACUUAGGGUUUAUUAUAGUAUCGAUGGAGCGUGUGUGGUUAACCGGCACAUCGAUUGAGUGAUAAACUUUAAGGGUACCAAGUGAUUUGCAUGGUUACUUCACACCUCGUUUUGUGAUCCUCGGUAUCCCAGUCACAAAACUUGGAGGGCACACUCGAGAUUGAAACAUGCCUUUGAAAAGUUCAUUGAAUCUCAAAGAAUCUAGGAAUUUCUAAGAACCAUUCAAAAACCUAAUACUAAAAUAUUGCGGUUUUCGUGGUGGAAAUUGGUGAAUCGUCAUUCACCUACCUUUCAAAUAUGAUAUAGCUUAGAUUACGGCAUACCUCUUCUAAGUUAUAUUAUAUUGUGAUUGGAUCCUAGCCUUAAUAUUACAUUUGGGUGUUUUAUUAAGGACUCUCUUAUAUCUAAACUAAUCUUGUCCUCUUUCCUUCAGAUGUCUUUCAACAAUGCUUCUGGCUCUAAUCCUAAUGGCUCCUUUACCCUUAUGAACUUGUGUGGGAAAGUCACCUUUGAUGGAUCCAACUUCAAUGAGUGGAUCAGAAACAUCAGGAUGAUUACCCGCUACGAGGACAAAGAAUAUGUCCUUGACAAGGAGCUUAAGGAGAUUGAUGAGUCCACUGCAACUCCUCAGGAGAUCGCUGAAUUUCGGGCACAUGAAAGGGAUGCUACGAAAGUGGCUUGCAUCAUGAUGGCCACGAUGACAGCGGAACUCCAAAAGUCUUAUGAGGAUUUCUACCCUUAUGACAUGCACCAAGAUUUGAUGGAAAGAUACCAUCAAAGUGCAAGACAAGAGAGGUAUGAAAUCAUCUGCUCCAUGAUAACAACCAUGAUGAAGGACGGGGAAUCCGUCACGAGCCACAUGCAGAAAAUGCAAAGGUAUGUGGAUCGUUUGCUGAAGCUUAAUGUGAACUUCCCGGAGGAUCUUGCAAUAGAUAUUAUUUUGCAUUCCUUACCAUCGUGCUAUGAUCAAUUCCGCAUGACAUAUCACAUGAACAAGGAAGAAGUCACCCUCAGCAAACUUCAGGGACUUCUCAAGACCGCAGAAACAGGUCUUAAGGGGAAGUCGGUUGCUAUCACUCCUACUCAAAACUCUACUCCGGUUUUGGCAAUCGGGAAAAGUCGAGGGAGGAAGAGAAAGAGCUCUUCUAAGGGUACCAAGGCUCGGACCCUUGAUGGCUCUUCUUCAAGUGGAACCAAGAAAGGUUUCGUUACUCCUUCUUCUGACCCAAAAGAGGCUGAAUGCUUCUAUUGCCAUGAAAAAGCUCAUUGGAAGCGGAACUGCCCAAAAUACCAGCAAGAUGUGAAGGAUGGGAAAGUUAAACCCAACCAUGCAGGUAUUUACACUAUCAUUUCUAAUAACUCACCCCAUUCUAAUUCUUGGGUCCUUGAUACCGGGUGUGGUAUUCACAUUUGUUGUGACUUGCAGGGACUAAGAAGAAGUGAGGAUGUGGAGCAAGGAAGGAUAAACUUGAUCAUGGGGAAUAGGAAAGCUAUACCUGUUACCAAGAUUGGAGUUUAUACUUUAUCGCUAAGUAGUGGGUUUAGUUUAGAUUUGAAUAAGUGUUGUUAUUCGCCAGGAAUGGCAAGAAAUAUUAUUUCCUUUCAUGCUUUGUACAAACAAGGGUUUACCUUUUCAUUUAAUAAUGAAGUUGGUUCUAUAGAUGUUUUCUAUAAUAAUGUCUUUUAUUUUAAAGCAUUACCUUGUGAUGGUGUGUAUGAAGCUGUAUCUGUUGUAGAUAACUUGGGAAAUAAUGUUUUGUGUAUUGAUUCUACUAAUAAUAACUUGGAUAAAGCAUCUUUAUGGCAUUGUCGUCUUGGACAUAUAAGCAAGAAACGCAUAGGCCAACUCCAAAAGGAUGGAGUCUUGGAGUCGUUUGACCUAAAGUCAGAUGAUAGUUGCGAAUCAUGCUUACUUGGAAAAAUGACAAAGUCACCCUUCACAGGUUCGUGUGAGAGGGGUGAAGGUUUGUUGGACCUUAUACACACGGAUGUGUGUGGACCAUUCAAACAUGCCACAAGGGAUGCUAAUCGUUAUUAUUUGACUUUUACUGAUGAUUAUAGUAGAUAUGGAUAUGUCUACUUGAUCAAGCAUAAGUCAGAGACUUUCGAGAGGUUUAAGGAAUUUAAACAGGAAGUCGAGAAUCAAUUGGGCAGGAACAUUAAGAUGCUUCGAUCCGAUCGUGGUGGUGAGUAUCUUAGUUCAGAGUUCCUCGACUAUCUAAGGGAAUGUGGGAUAGUCUCACAAUUGACACCUCCCAGGACACCACAGUUGAAUGGUGUGGCUGAGAGGCGUAAUCGAACCUUGUUAGAUAUGGUUCGUUCCAUGAUGAGUCGAGCUACGCUACCAAUCUCAUUCUGGGGGUAUGCCUUAGAGACUGCCGCCCAUAUUCUUAAUCUAGUCCCUACAAAGAAAGUUGCCAAAACUCCUCACGAGAUGUGGACUGGUAAAGUACCUAAACUAGACCACAUCAAGAUUUGGGGUUGCGAGGCUUUCGUGAGACGCGAGACUCAUGAUAAGCUCGAACCUCGAAGCGAGAGGUGUAUUUUCAUCGGUUACCCACAGCGAUCCUUUGGUUACCUCUUCUACAGACCUAGUGACAAUGUGGUCUUUGUAGCAAGAAGAGGAGUCUUUCGAGAAAGAGAGUUUAUAAGCCAAGGAGACAGUGGGAGGCAAAUUGAUCUUGAAGAAAUUCAAGAAUCAAGCGGUGAAGGAACUUCAAACUCUAGCCCUCAACUUGAGGAGGAAACUCCUGUUGAGCCAAUUGACAAAUCUGUACCUCUGAGACGUUCCACGAGAGUUAGGAGUGCACCUGAGCAUUACUAUGGAUUCCAUAUUACUGCAGAAGGUGAGACACUUAUUAGUGAUGAGACACUAGUAAGUCAAGAUGACCCUAACAGCUACGAGGAAGCCAUGGCAGGCCCCGAGUCUGCUAAAUGGAAAGAGGCUAUGGAUAGCGAGAUACAAUCCAUGUAUGACAAUCAAGUUUGGAACUUGGUUGAAAAUGUACCAGGUCGUAAGACAGUAGGGUGCAAAUGGGUCUUCAAGAAGAAGACCGACAUGGAUGGUAAAGUACACACUUAUAAGGCUAGACUGGUUGCAAAGGGCUUCUCUCAAAUUCCUGGAGUGGAUUAUGAUGAGACCUUUUCUCCGGUAGCCAAGAUUAAGUCUAUUCGGGUUCUGUUAGCCAUAGCUGCAUUUCAUGACUAUGAAAUAUGGCAGAUGGAUGUCAAAACCGCUUUCCUUAAUGGAAAGUUGGCUGAAGAUGUUUACAUGAGUCAGCCAGAGGGUUUUGUCAGCAACGAGUACCCUAAUAGAGUGUGUAAGCUUGAGAAAUCCAUUUAUGGAUUGAAGCAAGCACCUCGCAGAUGGAAUCUUUGCUUUGAUGAAAAGGUCAAGGAAUUUGGCUUUUCUAGGAGUGAAGAUGAAUCUUGUGUGUAUGUCAAGGCUAGUGGGAGUAUAGUUAGCUUUUUGGUAUUGUAUGUGGAUGACAUACUACUCAUAGGAAACGACAUUCCAACCCUGCAGGAAGUAAAGUCCUGGCUUGGGAAGUGUUUCGCUAUGAAGGACCUUGGUGAAGCUGCCUAUAUUCUAGGGAUAAGAAUCUUGAGAGAUCGGAGUAAAAGACUAAUUGGACUUAGUCAGAGUACCUACUUGGAUAAGGUGCUGAAGAGAUUCAGCAUGCAGGAUUCCAAGAAAGGAGAGUUACCCAUCCAGAGUAACACCAGAUUGAGUAAGACACAAAGCCCUAGCACUGAGGCUGAGAUAGCAGAAAUGAGUCGAACACCUUACGCUUCGGCUGUAGGAUCGAUCAUGUAUGCUAUGACGUGUACUCGACCCGAUGUAGCUUUUGCCUUGAGCAUGGUUAGCAGGUAUCAGGCGAACCCUGGCAAGGCACACUGGACUGCGGUAAAGAAUAUCCUCAAGUACCUACGGAGGACUAAGGACUGGGUCCUUACCCUCGGUGGGAGUGAUGACUUGAGAGUUGUAGGGUAUAGUGAUGCUAGCUUCCAGACUGAUAGGGAUAAUUUCCGCUCUCAGUCGGGCUGGGUCUUUACCCUAAACGGAGGAGCAAUUUCUUGGAAGAGUUCCAAGCAAGAGACAGUGGCAGAUUCUACUUGUGAAUCAGAGUAUAUUGCAGCUAGUGAAGCAGCAAAGGAGGCGAUAUGGCUGAAGAACUUCAUUGGAGACCUUGGAGUUGUACCAGCUAUUAAAGAGCCAAUGGAAAUUUUCUGUGAUAGUGAAAGUGCUGUUGCCUUAGCCAAGGAACCAAGGGAUCAUGGGAGAUCCAGACACAUCGACAGAAAAUACCAUUUCAUUAGACAUCGGAUCGAAGAAGGACUCCUCGUGGCAAAGAGGGUAUCAUCGGAUGAGAACCCAGCAGAUCCCCUCACGAAGGGACUGAGUAGGGUUAAGCAUCUCCAGCAUGCUCGGAGCAUAGGGCUGAAGGAUGAUAUAAGUUUUAGUAGUUAGAUAACCCAGAAAUUUGUAAAGUGUAAUUGACAUUUGAUGAUGAAUAAAAGGUGUUUUAUUUAUGAGUAAAGUGUUGCUAUCUCUUGUCGAUCGUUUACUAUAUUUCUUUUGCAUGUUUUGACUUCCAGAAUAAUUUUGUUUGGUAUAACAUAUUAUUCAAACCUCCACAGUCGGUCAUAUGUUGGAAGUAGAUAUGAAUCAAGACUGUCAUGUUUGGUUGUAGAGGUCUUGGACAAGGCUACAACAAUCAUGAGUGCUCAUAAGUUCUGAGCAUUGGACUCAACCCACGCUCACUGGAAUCACUUCAUGGAAUUCUAUCUCGAGUGAUCGUGAGACGGUAAUAUCAUAUAAGUCUUCAAACCUAGAGAUAUGAUUUGUUACUUACAAGUUGGUUAUGCAUUGACUGUACGAAACCGCAUUGGUAACUCGAUGUUAUAAAACGUACUUUUGUGUGUAAUUCAAUGAGUGGUAGAACAAACAUAUGAGUCGAAGUUUAUCUGUUCCUUCUUGGAUUAGAAGCUGAUAUCUGGGCCCCUCGAUGAUUUUGUUUUGACCCAUGUACCGGGCCCGGUCAGAACUAAGUUGAUGUGUUCAAUUAAGUUCUAUGUCAAACAAAUCGGAAAUCGGGAAACAAAUGCUGGACAAUAAGCAAGACAAUGUUCCAUGUAUUUGUCCGGCUGAUAUCUAGAACGGAGGAUUAUAUGAUCACUUAUCUUAAAUGGCGUACCAUCAUCUUCUCAGUUCCGAGAGACCUUGAAAGAGCUACGAUUGCCGGUCGGUUCCUGAAGUACUAGAGAUAUAGUUAUUAGACUUAUCCAAGUGGGAGACUGUUGGAUAAGGUGUCUAAGUCCAUAACUAUUUCGGGCUUGUACUUGACCCGACCCGGCAUGGUCCAUUUGGGUUGCAUGGCACCAUGCAAUUGGAUAGACUAAAUGAGAGAAAUAACACUUGGAGAUUAUUAAUAUAUUAUAAGUUCUAAUAUAUUAAUAAUAUUAUUUGAUUAGUUGAUCAAAGAAUUAAUUUGGAAUUAAUUAAGUGAUCAAAGGAUAACUAAUUAAAUAUAUGGGUUGAUUAUGUAAAUCAUCCAUAUCUUGUAUAGUGGGCUAAGAGGCUCCAUGGAUUAUCAAGUUGGGUUCUACCCAUAGGAUGCUCCAUGGAUGCUCCAUGGGAGUUACAAACCCAUGGGUCAUGGAAAUGAAGAGUCAUGACACAUUAGGGUUUACAUGGUGUAACCCUAGAUGUGCCAACACUAUAUAAGAGUCCCAUUCUCCACAAAAUUGGCUACACAAGUUGAACACUAAGAAACUAGAGGGCUUGGCCGAUUUUGAGAAGUGUGUGUUAUCUCAAGAGUCUUUCCAAGAGCAUUUGGUGUUGUGUGAAGCAUUUGAGGCAUCACACUUGGGGUGCUAGGCUCACAAGGUUUCAAGGAACACAAGCAACAACAAGGUAAGUUAUUCUAUCUAUGAUUCAAGUUAAAAUUGUUCCCCAUGUAUGCUAGAUAGGAAUAUAACCUUGGAAUUCAACUUUGCAUGAUAAUUAGACAAACAUAGAUCCAAGGUUAUUAGGGUUGCAUGUACACUUAGGAAGUGUUAGAAUGCUCAAAACCCAUCAGUGGUAUCAGAGCCUAGGCUUGUUUGUUUGUUAUUUGUGCUUAAAAGUUGAAGAAAGUCGAAAAUUCUGCUGUCUGACUGAUGGACUCGGCGAGUCCAUGGGGAGGACUCGUCGAGUUCAUGUGUAUCUUCAACCUACUCGGCGAGUAGGUUUAUGCACUCGGCGAGUAGGGUCGACAGAGUGCAGAAUUUCGACUUGAGUUGCUGGAAAUGGAUUAGAAUCAUUACCCUAAAAUGUUUUGGUACUUGAAAACUUAUUUUAGAAGGUGUAAUGUCUUUUCUAACUCAUUUACAACAACUAGUUAUCAAAAUUACAAAGAUUAAAUGUGAUUUUGAUUCUUGAAAGUGUUCAUAUUCAUAUUCUUGUUCUUAUGAUGUUUAGAUGAUCAUAGGAAUUAUUUGUAACCUAUGUGGUAGAUUAAUUCAUGAUCAUAAUGUGUUUUAAUGGAGUCCAUAACUUGUCCUCAAGUUAUGGAAAACCAAAAGUCUCUUGGAUUAAAAACCAUUAAAAGAACACAAGAGUUAGGAAAAAUGAAAAGUCCUCAUUUUAUUACUCUAUUAAACUCAUAAGUUACAAGAAAUGAAAAGUUUUGAAAGUUUACAAAACUUGCCCUCAAGUUUUGGAACAAGUAAAGUUAAGUUAAAACUUUAGUUCCAACCCCUAGAAUUUUAAAAGUUAAAAUUCAACCCUUAUACUUAUAUUAUUAUG
rnacentral:lncRNA from 1 species